ACGAACGCUGGCGGCGUGCUUCACACAUGCCAGUCGAACGGAAAGGCCUGCUUUCCCUUGUGGAUUGCGGGUACUCGAGUGGCGAACGGGUGAGUAACACGUGAGUGAUCUGCCCCCAACUUGGGUAUAAGCCUGGGAAACUGGGUCUAAUUCCCGAUAGGACUGCAGGGUGGUGCCUGUGGUGGAAAACGAUUUUCUAGUGGUUGGGGAUGAGCUCGCGGCCUAUCAGCUUGUUGGUGGGGUAAUGGCCUACUAAGGCGGCGACGGGUAGCCGGCCUGAGAGGGUGGACGGCCACAUUGGGACUGAGAUACGGCCCAGACUCCUACGGGAGGCAGCAGUGGGGAAUAUUGCACAAUGGGCGGAAGCCUGAUGCAGCGACGCCGCGUGGGGGAUGACGGCCUUCGGGUUGUAAACUCCUUUCGACCGCGAGGAAGCCACCUGGUUGGAAGGGUGGUGACGGUAGUGGUAGAAGAAGCACCGGCUAACUACGUG
rnacentral:rRNA from 1 species